UACGUAUGGAGCAAGCGUUAUCCGCAUUUACUGGGUGUAAAGGGAGCGCAGGCGGCUUUGCAAGUCUGAUGUGAAAGGCCGGGGCUCAACCCCGGGACUGCAUUGGAAACUGUAAAGCUAGAGUGCCGGAGAGGUAAGCGGAAUUCCUAGUGUAGCGGUGAAAUGCGUAGAUAUUAGGAGGAACACCAGUGGCGAAGGCGGCUUACUGGACGGCAACUGACGCUGAGGCUCGAAAGCGUGGGGAGCAAACAGG
rnacentral:rRNA from 1 species